UAAGAAUGGUAAAGAAAAAUAAAGAGUUUUAUUACUUAAACAAAAAUACUAAUUGUUUUUGUCCAUAAAACAUUCCCCUGGAUGGUUACAACAGUCCCCUGUCACGGUUUUGCGAAAAAUCGUCCAUAACUCAAAAACCAAGGGGAAAAUGUGUGGGCUUUUUUAAGAUAUAUAUUUAAUUUACUAUUGCCCUUAAUUUUAUUGACAAACAUUCUCAACAUUUAAUAAAAUUACUUCAGGACAGUCUUGUAUGGACGAAUUUCCAAAUAGCAGAGAAACGCCCAUUUAUGUUCAUGUCACUUUUCACCGGAAUCAUUCGAUUGAACAUCUGCCUUCAAAGUUAGGCUGAAAGAUGAUGCUAUUCCAAAUGUUUGCAUCCAGAAGAAUGCUGUCUUGCAAGACACAUGCAGCGUUGAUAAAAAACAAGAUUGCUCUGAAGCCACAGAAAGUUUUCUCUCAGAUGGGGUCGCAUUGCACCCCGAAGCAGCGGAACCUUCAUCUUCAAUCGAUGAAAUUUGUGAAUCAGCAAAUAAAGGGCCGAGAAUUGAUAGCCCAUCAAAGGGUUGUAACAAAAAAAAUGUCUUUUGUCAAACGCCACAACCGCCCAAAUGUGUCGAUAAAGCUACGUGAGUAUCGAAAUUAUUCAUUGUAAAUUCUCCCACCAGGGUGUAUACGCACCGGGAAAUCCAGGAAUUCCAGGAAAAAGCUGGGAAUUUUUCCUACCGGGAUAAAACCAGGAAAAAUACGGGAAUUUUCUGGUACUCCAGAAUAAUGAGACAAAUUUUGCACAAUUAGUACCUAAUUCAUAUUUUUUAGAAAACAUUUUUUCCCAUUCUGCCUUGUUAACUUUGUAUUAAGGUAGUUCUGUAUGUACACGUAUCAGCCAAAAGUUUCGACCGUAGUGUACAGUAAGAUCUCAUACGUACGUGGCGCUACCUGUCUCGAACUUUUGGCGAUGCUGUACACUGUUCAUGUUCUACACAAUCACACCUUAUGCAUGGAUAGGGC